rnacentral:rRNA from 1 species
GACGAACGCUGGCGGCGUGCUUAACACAUGCAAGUCGAACGGAAAGGCCCUGCUUUUGUGGGGUGCUCGAGUGGCGAACGGGUGAGUAACACGUGAGUAACCUGCCCUUGACUUUGGGAUAACUUCAGGAAACUGGGGCUAAUACCGGAUAGGAGCUCCUGCUGCAUGGUGGGGGUUGGAAAGUUUCGGCGGUUGGGGAUGGACUCGCGGCUUAUCAGCUUGUUGGUGGGGUAGUGGCUUACCAAGGCUUUGACGGGUAGCCGGCCUGAGAGGGUGACCGGCCACAUUGAGACUGAGAUACGGCCCAGACUCCUACGGGAGGCAGCAGUGGGGAAUAUUGCACAAUGGGCGGAAGCCUGAUGCAGCAACGCCGCGUGCGGGAUGACGGCCUUCGGGUUGUAAACCGCUUUCGCCUGUGACGAAGCGUGAGCGACGGUAAUGGGUAAAGAAGCACCGGCUAACUACGUG